rnacentral:sRNA from 1 species
GUUAUUUGUCGGCCCCACUUUUCAUGCAGUUUUAGGUGGGGAAAAUCAAACUUCUUAGAGUGGUUUCCUUUUGAAAGUAAAAUGACCUGGUUUUUAAUUACCAGCUCUUUUAUUUACCUGUGCUGCAGAAGUGCUUGGGGGGUGGUUUGUUUUUCUUCUGAGGUCUUUGCUUUUCUCAAAGACUGGGGAGCAGCCUCAAGAAAUGACACUUGUAUUGCACAAAGCCUACUCACAGUAAAGAGGUUUGGGUGCCUAUGAACAUCUGGGGUGCCACACUUGCCCGUGGUUGUAACUGCAGCCUGCAGACAUUAUUCAUUCUCUGCUUCCUCCCUAAUCUCGGUGCAGAGACCAGGGCAGGGCAACCUGAGCUUAGUGUUCUAUGUUUUGAAGCCAGAGUUAGGGCUCCAGCUCUGUCCAGUGUGCACUCAUGUGGCACCAAGAAGAUCACAGAUCCCACUGGGGAGUUGCCAAGGCUCUCCCCUGGCCGCAUUGCCAGGAAGUCCUCCAGUCAUCAUUGUUACUAGUCUGCAGCAGGUUUAGCAAUGCUUGUGUUUUUGCCCUUUGUUUCCCCCAUGCCUCUAAAGACUUCAUUUUCUUAAAGUGUAAUUUUGCACCCUGGGCUGAAAGAAAUGAUCACUGUUUCUGAUUGCCUAAUUUGUUUUUGAGAGGCACAAAUCUAUCUAAAAGCAAUUUAAUAGUGGUAUUUAUUCUAACACUCUGAAGAAGUCUUAUCAUUGCUAAAUUGUUUAAAAUUCAAAAGCUUGUUCCAUCAGGCCACAGCAGUAUGAGUGAUUGUGGGGCUGACAGCAUGUUGAAUCUUUAUUGAUUGUCUCGAGUGUUGGUUUAAAGUGUACUCUUUAUUUUUGUUUUGUUUUGCUUUUCUGAUUGUAAAAGAAAUGCUUAUUCAUUGCCAAAUUUUUGGAAAAUAAUAAGAUAUACCGGGAAUAAAACCAAAAUUGCUUAUAAUUUCACUGCCCCAAAAUCCAUUAACAUAUAGGGUAUUUCUUUCCUAUAUUUCUCUUUGACAUAAGUACCUUCUAAUCCCAAAAUUAGGAUUAUAAUGUAUAUAUAGCUUUGUUCUUCUUUGUUUACUUAAUGCUAUAACAUGUUCUUUUCCUCGUGUCAUUAAAAGUCACAUUUUUGUAUAAAGUACUCAUUGCUUAGAUGGAUCAUGAUCCGGUAUAUUCUGUUGCAGUGGGAAGAGGAGAGGAACUUUGGUGCAUCCCUAUUGCUUCCAGGCCUAAAACAAAAGAACUCAGUGGGUUUCAGUUCCCAGUUGUAUGGCUAUGCACUUCUUGGUAAGCUAAAUGAUCCUUACAAAUACUGUUCUUCAUGGUUAGAAUUGUUGUAUUCUUCCAGUUCAUAAUAAAAUUGUAAUUUGAUUUAAAUUUACCAGUGAAAUCCAAUUAGCCUUCGUUUUUAGACAUAAAAAUAGACCUUGAUGGCCUUACAGUUACUCCAUAAGAGAGUAAAGAGGGUUCUUAAAACCUGCCAUCACUGGCAAAGCAAGAACUAGUUCUGGUGGAUAUAGGUAAUAAUAUUCAGUGGUAAUCAGUCUGAAGAAGGGAUAAAGAAAGGGAUGUUCUGGCCCUGUUUAGGGAGACUAGCUAGUAGAAUCUUUUCCAGUAUUAACAAAGAUCUUUCUGUCUCUUUAGAUCUAAAGUCCAGAAGGUAAGAAAUUAAGAGUUAGAGUUGAACUUGUAUCUUUGGUAUUGUUUUCAGGUAAGGGAAGAUAAACUAAGAGCAGAAGUAGUAGCACUUCAGGAAAAGCGGAGUGGUUCAUGGGUACCAUGUGAUUGUACCAGGAGGUGCAAUGGUGGCUUUCCUCUUGUGCCCUGAUUGCAUUGAAAAUCAGACAGGUUAAGAGGACAAAGCCUUCUGAAGAGUGGCCUUGGAACCUGGGUUGUGUGGAAUCUGGGCAAAUAAGAUUCAACCUAAAUGUAACGUUGUCCUGAUUUACAGAGGUUUAUUAAAGUUAUGUUAUUUCAUUACUCUCCCAUCGUCUCUUAAGUAGUUAGGCGUCUAUCAAUUAUACAUUGCUUCUGCUUACCUUUGUUUUUUAAAAAUCAUAAAGUUAUAGCAGUUUGACUGCUUUUGAAGUUGAUCUUUGCCAACAGAAUGUAGUGUGUUAUUCUUGGUGCUGACUCUGAUAUAAUAACUCAGAGGAACUUCAGAGUUUAUUGACUGUCUAUCAGACUAACAAAGGAGUUGACCACUCUUUUUAAAAAUCAUUUUUUCCUUAUUUGUCACCUACUUUUGAUGUUGAUUUACAUGUAUUUUCCUUUGCUUUCAGAUUAGCAUUCAGGACUGUCAUACAGCCUGAAUUGGUCAGAAGUGACAGGGCAAAGAAUAUGUACUUUGUUGUGGUUUGUGAGCAGAGGCCCUGGUUCUUUGUGAUAGCAGCCAUCAGAUCAGAAGCUCUUUGCUCUCAUUGUGUCAUUUGCCAUGCAGCCUCACUCAACCCUGAUGGAAGCAGCUGCCCAGAAUGUAACUACAGUCCAGCCCCAAGCACCUUAAAGGGAAGGUGGAGUUGCAGCAAGGGCUACGGGCUGUGUACCACAACAUGCCUCUGAUAUGGAAACCAGGCUACCUUGACAGAGCCCUUCAAGUGAUGGAGAAAGUGGCUGCCUCCCCAGAAGACAUAAAGCUGUGUAGAGAAGCGCUCGAUGUGCUGGAUGCAGUGCUGAAGGCUCUGACUUCGGCUGAUGGGGCUUCAGAGGAGCAGUCCCAAAAUGAUGAAGACGACCAGGGGUCAGAAAAACUGGUGGAGCAGUUAGACAUCGAGGAAACAGAGCAGUCCAAGCUUCCUCAAUACCUGGAACGAUUUAAGGCCUUACAUUCUAAGCUUCAGGCUCUGGGCAAAAUUGAGUCAGAAAGUCUUUUAAGUCUGACCACCCAGCUUGUCAAGGAAAAACUCUCCACCUGUGAAGCAGAGGACAUCGCCACCUAUGAGCAGAAUCUGCAGCAGUGGCAUCUAGACCGUGUACAGUUGAUCCAGAGAGAACAGCAACAGAGGGAGCAAGCGAAGCAGGAGUACCAGGCUCAGAAAGCAGCAAAGGCAUCUGCCUAAUAGGGUCCCCCAGGGCCCCACCUCUCUCACAAGAACUUCACUCAACCCCAUGCCAGGACUCAGCAGUGGCCUGGACAACAGCCUCAGCUUCCUCUACCCAUCUUCUUUUCUUAACGCAGGCUGUGUACCCUACAUGGCAAGGCACCAUGACUGCCCAUAGAGAUGCCAAGAAGGGCUGUGGAACUAUGCAGGUGGCUAGUGAUCAGACUGAAGUCACCAGCUGAAUACCUUAAGGAGGACUCUUGAGGCUCAUAAUGGAGUUCCUGGGGCACAGGGAUUAGUUAUGAGCAUUAAAGUUCUUAAGACCCAAUGACGGUACUGGGAGAAACGAAGGCUAAAGAGUCAGGUUGAAGCACAGGCCUUUGUUUUUUGUUGUUUUUGUUUUUUGAGACAGAGUCUCAUUCUGUCACCCAGGCUGCAGUGCAGUGGCGCGAUCUUGGCUCACUGCAACCUCCGACUCCCAGGUUCAAGCAAUUCUCCUGCUUCAGCCUCCUGAGUAGGUGGGAUUACAGGUGCAUACCACCACACCUGGCUAAUUUUUGUAUUUUUAGUAGAGAUGGGGUUUCACCAUGUUGGUCAGGCUGGUCUCAACCUCCUGACCUCAAGGGAUCUGCCCGCCUCAGCCUCCCAAAGUGCGGGGAUGAUAGGCGUGAGCCACCGCGCCCGGCCAAGCACAGGCUUUUGAUUGGUCUCCCUCUCCCCAACCCAGGUACAUGAGGCCAAGGUGAACUGUGCAUCCUGAGACCUUGUGUCCCUGAGUCUCCUCUCUGAGUGCAAGCUGCCCUGUGAGCUGGCUGUGGGAUACUCACACAUUCCCACAUUCUCCUUUCUGCCACAUCUCGCCCUUCUGGACCUGCACUGGGAGAAAUUCAGGACAGGAGUGAACUCAAGGCCAUGAACUCACUGGAUUUCCAUUUUUAGGCACCCGUAGGGACGUUUUUAGGAUGUAAGUUUUUGAGGGGAAAGCUAGCUCUAGCAUGAAGCCUCUUUGGAUUGGCUUCUCCAUCGUGUUGGGGUAACAUUUUUUUUUCCAAUUUUUUUUUUUUCCAAAACAUCGUCUCAGCUCAUUUAUCAAGUAGGUAAAAUGAGCCUUUUGUGUACACACAGAGGAACAUGUGCGUGCACACACAACUUGUGAACACACAUUUCUGUUAAAGAAGUUAGAAAAUGAGAGAUGGGUUGGGGCUUGAAGUGCAUCAGAGGUAUGAAUGUUGUAAAACUGUCAGGAGAUGUAAAAUUCCUUUCUGAAGUUUCUCUUCUGUGAAAGGGUUCAGGGCAGAUUUUGCUUACUAUGUAGUGUUGCCCUUAGGUACAGUAGUGUAAUUUUAUUCAAGAUUGUGCUCUUCUAUCAAAAGCCUCUGGAAAUAAAUGUUCUGGGAUC